UAACAUCCACAGGCUGGCCGCCCCCCCAGGCUGGGCGAGUAUCUCUUAGAAAGGCUCACCUGCAAGCACGACUAAGAGC
rnacentral:pre_miRNA from 1 species